UGGGGAAUUUUGCGCAAUGGGGGAAACCCUGACGCAGCAACGCCGCGUGGAGGAUGAAGCCCCUUGGGGCGUAAACUCCUUUCGAUCGGGAAGAUAAUGACGGUACCGGAAGAAGAAGCCCCGGCUAACUUCGUGCCAGCAGCCGCGGUAAUACGAGGGGGGCGAGCGUUGUUCGGAAUUAUUGGGCGUAAAGGGCGCGUAGGCGGUUGGACAAGUCUCAUGUGAAAUCUUCAGGCUCAACUUGAAGUCUGCAUGGGAAACUGUCCGGCUGGAGUGUGGGAGAGGUGCGUGGAAUUUCCGGUGUAGCGGUGAAAUGCGUAGAUAUCGGAAGGAACACCUGUGGCGAAAGCGGCGCACUGGACCAUAACUGACGCUGAGGCGCGAAAGCUAGGGGAGCAAACAGGAUUAGAUACCCCCGUAGUCC
rnacentral:rRNA from 1 species